AAGCGGUGAAACCCGGACAACAAGCAACGAAGCAACUCCUUCCCCCCAAUCCUUUCACCGGACAUUUAAGGCGAAGAAAAGAAUCUGCAUUGAAGGAGAAACGAAAUCAGGGAGUUCCCGAAACCCUAAUUCUUUGCCAUUUUCAUCGUUGCUGCUCCUCCAUCAAACAGGGAAUCUCCGCCAUUUCUGAAUCUGUGUGUGAUGUGCUUCUUCCUGGAGAACGAUUAGGGAUACUAGAGAAUAGAUUUGAAGAGUUUUCUGUAUUUUCGGAUAUUGAUGAGGCAAGUUCGUCGGUGGCAGGGGAUUCUUAUCCUCUCCUUGCUAUCAUUAUCUGUGUUGGCUCCUAUCGUUUUCGUCUCCAAUCGGCUCAAGAGCAUCACUUCCGUUGGUGAACUUUUCCUUUUUCUUCAUUUUUCCAUAUGUUUCUGUUGUGGCGAAUGUAGGAUUGAUUGAUAUGGCUUUACUAUAGUCGACGAUCCUGUGUAGUGUUGGUUAAUCGUUCUGAUCUCUAAUGGAAUCUCGUGGAUCGCCAUGGACUUUCUUUUUCUUUUUCUUUUUUUCGUUUUGCAUAUUCUUUGCCUUGUGCUUUGCAUCUGAGCUUUGGUUUGAUCUUGAUUCCUGAUCUGUGUCAGGUCGGAGAGAAUUCAUUGAAGAGUUAUCGAACAUUCAUUUUAACUAAGCAAUGAACGUAAGCUGAGAUGCUACUGCUACUCUGCAGAGAUACAGUAGGACGAAUGACCUUAGACUUAACGCAAUUGAACAGGAGGACGGAGGAGGUUUGGUGGAGCUUAAAGGCCCUAAACUCAUCCUGUUCAAGGAUGAGGAAUUUAAUUCUUUAGUUCAGUAUAGUUCUUCUGAUGAAAGUGGCGAUGCUAAGUUGUCUAAUGAGGACCGCAAAACAGGGGCUUUCGCAGAAAUUGGGGAUGGCUACCACAGAUUUAGUUUUGUUUUAUUUUGCCGUCAUUGAUUGACUUGGAAUUUGGAAGCUUUCUUAUACGUUAUCACCAUCGUUUCAGGAAAGGAUCACAAAAGCGAGGAAGAACGAAGAACAACCUGUAGUAAUCAUUUUUACGUAUAACUAAGCCUCUGUGAUCACUACAGGUUGACCGCCACUCAUCACAAACAGAGAGUGGUCAACUUGAUGCAGUAUGAUGCUUAUCUAUUUGAUCUCAGAGAGUGGAGAAGGCAGAAGUUGACCGCCAUGUACAUGAAACACGUGCACCUGGGAACCAAGAGGCAAUUGUUUCAGGCGGGAAGCAUGCCAAUAGGUUGGACGACAUUCUACAAGAAAGUAAUACCGUUGGAAAUGAGAUGGCAUUUAGUGGGUUAAGGGCACGAAUCCGGAGUGAAAGUGGCGGAGAUAGAGCAAGCUAAGGUCAUACACUACGACGGAAUAAUGAAGCCGUGGUUGGAUAUAGGGAUGGGUAAAUACAAAGGGCACUGGAGCAGACACGUCCCUUAUCAUCACCCUUACUCGCAACAGUGCAAUAUCCAUGCUUGAUAACACCAAUCCAAUCCAUUUCUUAAAAAGAAAGGGCAAAAGGCAAAAUAAGUUCAAUUCCAUUCUUACAUACAUACAUACAUACAUACAUACAUACAUACAUACAUACAUACAUACAUACAUACAUACAUACAUACAUACA